rnacentral:misc_RNA from 1 species
CGGGGUGGCGGCGAUCGUUCACCGCAGAAGACAGCCUCUGCCCCUUCUUGGUUGCCCUUAACGCCCUUGCGCACUCGCCCUCGACCUUGUACUUUGUUGGCUGUGCGAGUUUUGAGCUGUCACUAAUCCGCUCUCUUGCCACCCUCCUCUUCCGCUCACGUCACUACGCGUAGGUGCCGUCAUGCAAGUCGGCUGCUCUCAUGGCCGGCCAGAUCCGCAAUAGCUGGCGGCGCCGCAUCUACCUGUGGCUCACCACCUCCACCCGCGACCGUCGCAACCGGACUGAUGAUGUCGGCACCCAUCUUCAGGCAGCGCGCAGAGAGCGAAACAAGGUGCAUAGAGUCAACGACUUGCUCCAUGCUUCUGGCAUGUGGCACCACCCCCAUGACACGCUGGAAGGCAUCAUUCUUCAAGGAAUGGGGAAGGGGCUUGCGUGGAGCUUCGUGAUUGUCCCUGCGUGUUUUGUGCUGACCUUCAUCGUCUGCAUAACCUCGUAUCGUGGCGGUGACUGGCGCGCACAGCAACAGCACGCGCAAGAGGAGUGGCAGCAUCACCUGCUGGAAGCGGCGCAGAAACGGGCGAUAGCCGACAAGGAACUGCAGUCUGUAUGCAAUUACGCCAUGGAGGCAAAGUCUUUACUUCGCCCCAUUCCGGAGGAACGGCGCUGGGCUGCGCAGCUAGAGGCGAACAUGGCCUUCAUCAACGAAAAGCUUCAGCGCCACUUAGGCGAUGACGAGUCAACGCGAGAACGCGGGUGAAAGGUGCAUGCAAGCGUCCAAGUGCGUCGGCGUUCGUGCACCCCGCUCCCCCACUUCUCCAGCUUGCAGAGACACACAAUGGUUUUCCCGCUCUUCCUACUGGCGCCGCCCCUCGUGCGCAUUGGCGUGUACGCGUGCCGCACCAGAUGGUAGUGCGUGCCGAAAUUACAUCAAGACGACAGUCACGGAAUACAGCAGCGCUCAGGAGAGCCAAUGACAGGCUGAUGUGUGCCCGUGUGUGUGUGUACGCGUCCUGCUGCCGCACCGGCACACAUAUCAAAUAUACGUAGACAUACGUACACCUACCAUGCACACCCUUUCUCUCUCCCUCUCGUGGUGGUGCUCGAGAUGGCAGGACGUCCUCUACCUUAUUUUGCCCAACUCCUUGUGCUUGCCUUCUCCGCUACUGCUACUCCACCGCACCACACCCCACUCCCUAAUCUCUAUAUGGCUGCCUAUCUUUCCUGCAAACCCUCGAACACACACAUACGCUGCGUAUCACGCUUGAGCUCGUGCACAUGAAUGGAUUUUUUGCGUCUCCCUCGAUUUUCCGCGCAUCCGCUCAG